GAAAUGCGAUAAGUAAUGUGAAUUGAAGAAUUCAGUGAAUCAUCGAAGCUUUGAACGCACAUUGCGCCCGCCAGCACUCUGGCGGGCAUGCCUGUUCGAGCGUCAUUUCAACCCUCAGAACCCCUUGCGGGAUCUGGCGUUGGGGAUUGGCAUCCAGCCAGCCCCGAAAUCUAGUGGCGGUCCCUCCGCGACCUCCCCUGUGCAGUAGCGAUACCUCGCAGCGGGACAGCGGUCUGACCACGCCGUAAAACCCCCAACUUCUCAAGGUUGACCUCGAAUCAGGUAGGAAUACCCGCUGAACUUAAGC
rnacentral:misc_RNA from 1 species